CAGGACGUAGCUAUAAUUACAAAGCAUUCAGCUUACACCUGAAAGAUGUCUGCUAACUAAGACCGACCUGA
rnacentral:tRNA from 1 species